AUGGUAGGAAGCAAAACACUAUUUAACCCCUUCUUUUGUCAGGUGUUUAUGGCUGAUUCGUUACGCUUUCAAUGGUCUCAGAGCAAAGUACCAACUAGCAACAAAUGAGAAUGACAAAAGGCUUGACGUGAAGCAACAAAUGAGAACAACUGAAGACUUGAGGUGAGAUGUAUUGUAUUUUUCUAAUGAUAAAUGUUAAUUUGUUAAUUCUUAUAUUAGUCCUUUCUCUUGUGAAAUGAAUUACGCAUCUUCCACUAAUACACUAAACUUGAACACAAAAAAUAAUGACUAUCGAGAUUGAUUGCUAGAACAUCCACUCAAAACAAGCAAACUUCUAAUACAUAGAUAAAACACCUUUGUGCUAAAGAAAAUAAAACUUUAAGGGGUGUCAUGGGCCAUAGCACAUCCCCACUAUAGAGAAGGUAUUUAUGACUGAUUAGUUACGCUUUCAAUUAUCUCAAAACAAAAUACCAAGUAGCAAAAAAUGAGAACAAUGGAAGGCUUGAGGUGUAGCAACAAAUGAGAACAACAUAAAGC
rnacentral:lncRNA from 1 species